AUACGGAGGAUGCAAGCGUUAUCCGGAUUUAUUGGGUUUAAAGGGUGCGUAGGCGGUUUGCUAAGCGGGAGGUGAAAUGCCGGCGCUCAACGUCGGAAGUGCCUCCCGAACUGGUGGACUGGAAUGACUCUGCCGUGGGAGGAAUGUGUAGUGUAGCGGUGAAAUGCUUAGAGAUUGCACAGAACACCGAUUGCGAAGGCAUCUCACGAAGGGUUGAUUGACGCUGAGGCACGAAAGCGUGGGGAUCAAACAGGAUUAGAUACCCUGGUAGUCCACGCAGUAAACGAUGAUGGCUAACCGCUGGUUUAUUCGGAUCAGUGGCCAAGCGAAAGCGAUAAGCCAUCCACCUGGGGAGUACGACCGCAAGGUUGAAACUCAAAUGAAUUGACGGGG
rnacentral:rRNA from 1 species